rnacentral:rRNA from 1 species
GACGAACGCUGGCGGCGUGCUUAACACAUGCAAGUCGAACGGAAAGGCCCCCUUGUGGGGUACUCGAGUGGCGAACGGGUGAGUAACACGUGAGUAACCUACCCUUGACUUUUGGAUAACUUCAGGAAACUGGGGCUAAUACCGGAUAGGAGCUCCUGCUGCAUGGUGGGGGUUGGAAAGUUUCGGCGGUUGGGGAUGGACUCGCGGCUUAUCAGCUUGUUGGGGGGGUAGUGGCUCACCAAGGCUUUGACGGGUAGCCGGCCUGAGAGGGUGACCGGCCACAUUGGGACUGAGAUACGGCCCAGACUCCUACGGGAGGCAGCAGUGGGGAAUAUUGCACAAUGGGCGGAAGCCUGAUGAAGAAACGCCGCGUGCGGGAUGACGGCCUUCGGGUUGUAAACCGCUUUCGCCUGAGACGAAGCGUGAGUGACGGUAAUGGGUAAAGAAGCACCGGCUAACUACGUG